UUUUUAAAUGAAUAUGUUAAAGUGAGAGAAGUAUCUGUGUAGUACGAAUGUUUAUGAAAUUUAAUGCAUUAAAAUAAUUUUAAAAUCAUAUGAAAAUAAAAACAAUGCACUUUCUCAAAUAUUUAAAAUUUUCAUUUGGAUUCACAUUUUUAUGUCUGAUAUAUACUUUUUAACUUUAAAAAUGUGAAACUAGAAAUGGGGUAGAAAUUGAAUAUUAUGAGUCAUUAAAUAUGAAAAUAAUCCAUCGUUAAAUACCGCUUAGUAUUAAUGAGGGUUCAAUUUCUGAAAAUGUGACAAGAAUACACUGAAUAUCUAAAAAUUCCUGUUCAUUGUUUAUGGCUUUGAAUGGUUUAAACAAUUGCUGGAAAAAUUUACUCCCUUACUAAAAGUUAAUGUAUAUCUUGUUUUCUUUUCAUAAUCUGUACUUUUAUUUUGUGUAAAUGCUCAAUUGCUGUUUGUUUAUUUUCUCAUCAGAUUAUUUAUUAAAUGUAUAUUUUUAUUUGUUAUAUAUAAAUGAACAUUUAUAAAAAUGCAAAACCAGAAAUUGGAAAUUAAAUUAUUAUUUGUAUUAUUUGAGUAUCGCAAUUAUUUACCGAUUAUCUAACAUGAGACAGGGCUUUAUUUCUAAAAGUAGAAGUGCCGGAGCCUUAUGGAAGACCAUC